rnacentral:lncRNA from 1 species
CAGGUCACCCCCUCAAGGAUGACUCCUCUGCCACUUUGGGAUCCCAGCCACCAGGCUAAUACAGGACCCCAGCUGCUGGUGAGUUGGAUCUGUGGCUCUGUCUCAAGGUAGCAGGAGUGCCAAGAGAUGGAGCUCAGUCAUUUUCUGUUCUCCACAGGGGGCCAGCUGUGGGUCAGGGAUAUCUUUGUCUAACAGGACCCUGUGCCAUCCUUCUUGGCCUAUGUAUGAUGACUGGGGCAGGAUGCCCACUACCUCAGGACAUCCAGAAGAGAAGCAGGUGGCAUCUAGGGGCACAGGUACUUCUCUCGGCCCCUCAGCUCAGUUGUGAAGUUGCUGAGGAAGCUGCACUGAGGGCUAGGGUGGCAGGCCAAGGCCACCAAGCUAGCAGGCUCUCUUCCUCAGGGCUCCCAGUGAGAAACUCUGAAGAAGUCUUUCUCUUGGACCCUCUGCUAUCCCCUGGGCAGCGUGUUCCCCUAUACCUGCCCAAGCCCCCUCAGCAGGUGAGAAUGAGCCUCCCUACAUUCUCUCUCCCUUUCUCCAUUCAGAGCCAGUGGGACAAACUUCCCUUCCCGUCUUCUCAGGCAAUGGGCUCACUAAAGCUGUUGCUCCCGCCUCCUAUCAUGUCCUCCUCUGUGCAGCCCUCCUCCUCCCAAGGCUGCCCCUUCUCCUCCCAGGCCCGCCCCCCCUCCUCCCAGGCCCGCCCCCCAACCUGGCUCAGCGAGGCGGAGAUGAUCGCCCUUGCUGGUCUGCUGCAGAUGAGCCAGGGAGAGCAGACCCCCGACUCCCAGGCAAGCUCCCUGCCUUCUGCCAGCUGCCCAGACCCUGCCUAUGUCUCUGAAGACCCUGGCCCCAAUGGUGGCCAGAGCUGUUCUGGAAGCACUGACCCACGACCCACACAGAACCCCGAUAACCACCGUCCAUAGUGUCCCCUCCCCUCCCUCCACAGGGGCUGUCUUCUCUCCUAAGCCGUUUUGUUGACAAUAAAUCAGAGUG